ensembl:rRNA 5S_rRNA 5S ribosomal RNA
UUCUGCAACCAGACCACCUGGUACUGUCAUUCUGUCUGACUCCAGAGGCCAAGCAAGGUUGGGCUGAGUCAAUACUUGGAGGGGAGAGAUCUCUACCGAAAACCCCAGGUGCUGCAGGAA